AAAAUAUUUCAAUUUUCUUUCACAAUACUAUUAUACUAUAAUUAAAAUUAUUUUUUCUUUAAUAAAUACUAAAACAAAUCUCUAUAUAAUUAUUUUUAAUAAAUUAAAUUAUAAAAACAUAAAAAUAAUAAAUAAAAUAUAAUCAAUUUAUAUUGAUUUGCACAAAAUUCUUUUCAAUGUAAAUGAAAUACUUUACUUAAUAAGCUUUAAACUGCAUUCUAGAUACACUUUCCAGUACAUCUACUAUGUUACGACUUAUCUUACUUUAAUAAUAAGAGUGACGGGCGAUGUGUACAUAUUUUAGAGCUAAAAUCAAAUUAUUAAUCUUUAUAAUUUUACUAUCAAAUCCACUUUCAAUAAAUAUUUCAAAUUUAAAUUCAUAUAAAUAAAUUUAUUGUAACCCAUUUUUACUUAAAUAUAAGCUACACCUUGAUCUGAUAUAUUUUCUUUUAUAAAAUUAUGAAAAUUAACAUUCUUAUAAAAUAUUCUAAUAACGACGGUAUAUAAACUGAUUACAAAUUUAAGUAAGGUCCAUCGUGGAUUAUCGAUUAUAAAACAGGUUCCUCUGAAUAGACUAAAAUACCGCCAAAUUUUUUAAGUUUCAAGAACAUAACUA
rnacentral:rRNA from 1 species